AUUGAACGCUGGCGGCAUGCCUUACACAUGCAAGUCGAACGGUAACAGGUCUUCGGAUGCUGACGAGUGGCGAACGGGUGAGUAAUACAUCGGAACGUGCCUAGUAGUGGGGGAUAACUACUCGAAAGAGAGGCUAAUACCGCAUGAGAUCUACGGAUGAAAACAGGGGAUCGCAAGACCUUGUGCUACUAGAAGUGCCGAUGGCAGAUUAGGUAGUUGGUGGGAUAAAAGCUUACCAAGCCGACGAUCUGUAGCUGGUCUGAGAGGACGAUCAGCCACACUGGGACUGAGAAACGGCCCAGACUCCUACGGGAGGCAGCAGUGGGGAAUUUUGGACAAUGGGCGCAAGCCUGAUCCAGCAAUGCCGCGUGCAGGAUGAAGGCCUUCAGGUUGUAAACUGCUUUUGUACGGAACGAAAAGCCCCGGGUUAAUACCCUGGGGUCAUGACGGUACCGUAAGAAUAAGCACCGGCUAACUACGUGCCAGCCGCCGCAGUAA
rnacentral:rRNA from 1 species